UACGAAGGGUGCAAGCGUUAAUCGGAAUUACUGGGCGUAAAGCGUGCGUAGGCGGUUUGUUAAGUCUGCUGUGAAAUCCCCGGGCUCAACCUGGGAAUGGCAGUGGAUACUGGCAAGCUAGAGUGUGUCAGAGGAUGGUGGAAUUCCCGGUGUAGCGGUGAAAUGCGUAGAGAUCGGGAGGAACACCGAUGGCGAAGGCAGCCCCCUGGGUCAAGAUUGACGCUCAUGCACGAAAGCGUGGGGAGCAAACGAGGAUU
rnacentral:rRNA from 1 species